rnacentral:rRNA from 1 species
UACGGGGGGGGGGCAAGCGUUUGUUCGGAAUUACUGGGCGUAAAGCGCGCGUAGGCGGCUUUUCAAGUCGGGCGUGAAAGCCCCGGGCUUAACCCGGGAAUGGCGCUCGAUACUGUUGAGCUAGAGUGUGGAAGGGGCUACUGGAAUUCUCGGUGUAGCGGUGAAAUGCGUAGAUAUCGAGAGGAACACCUGCGGCGAAGGCGGGUUGCUGGGCUGACACUGACGCUGAGGCGCGAAAGCUAGGGGAGCGAACGGG